GAGUUUGAUCCUGGCUCAGGACGAACGCUGGCGGCGUGCCUAACACAUGCAAGUCGAACGAGUCCACCCUUUCGGGGGUGAGGCGAGUGGCGGACGGGUGAGUAACACGUGAGCAAUUUGUCUCUGUGUGGGGGGCAAACCCGGGGAAACCCGGGCUAAUACCGCAUGGGCAGGCACCUUGAGUGGGGCGCCUGGGAAAGACGGCCUCUUUACAAUGCUGUCAUGCAGAGAGAAGCUCGCGGGCUAUCAGCUAGUUGGUGCGGUAACGGCGCACCAAGGCGACGACGGCUACGGGGUCUGAGAGGACGACCCGCACAUUGGAACUGAGACACGGUCCAGACUCCUACGGGAGGCAGCAGUGGGGAAUUUUGGGCAAUGGCCGCAAGGCUGACCCAGCGACGCCGCGUGUGGGAUGACGCCUCUCGGGGUGUAAACCACUGUCAGAGGGGAAGAAUGACGUCUGUGUGAAUAAUGCAGGCGUGUGACGGUA
rnacentral:rRNA from 1 species